UAAACAAGGGGUCAGCAAACUUUGUCUUAAAGGGACAGAUAGUAAAUCUUGUAGGCUUUGUGAGCCACACUGCUGUUGCAGCUUGCAAGCAGCAGUGUACUGUACACAAACAAAUGGGCAUGGCUGUGCUCCAAUGAUGCCAUUUACAAAACAGGCAGAGGGCUGGGUCUGGGCUUCCCCUGCCCUAACCUAAGCCCAGCUGGGCUUCAUUCAGCACGCUGUGUACCACUCUUGAUGGGUAGGCCCACUCUGCCCGCACCUUGAAACCUGACCAGGUCUUCUCCCACCCCAUGAAUGUAAACAUUUUAACAACUAGCCUGACUGUGAAAAGCCUGGAGAAUCCUUCCUACAGGGGACAGUGGUGCAAAGAGAAGCUGGACAGGCGCCCACACCUGGCUGGCACGCACACCUGUGUGCACCGAGGGGGAACUGACGAGCACCUGAAUUGCCGAGCCAGGCUGCAGCUAAUAAAACAGAGAAAGUAAGUGCAUCGGGCACUCCAGACCAAAGCCAUUUGCAGAAUGGAGUCACAGGCUGACAUCCAAGACUUUAGCCAGCUGGCUUCAGGCAGCAGAUGCAAAGGAGAGGUCAUGAGCAGGCCAGGCCCUGGCUAGGCAGGGGAUGCACUGGCUUCCCAGGCAUCCUGGGCACCCCCUCCAGGUGGCAUAGGGGCUCCCCAGCACUGAAGGGUGUUCAGCAGCCUGCAAACCAACUGACUCACAGAGCCCAGAUAGUGACGCCAAGACCAGCCGCUCCGGGGCCAACAUCAGAGCUGGAGAGCUGAGCCAGUGGCACGCCAGUCACUGAGGAAGGCCUCUUGUUGAUAAAGACAGGGCAUGAAUUCUUGGGGGGCUGUUACGUACCUUCCCAAAGGGAGAAAGAAACCCCUUGUUCAGUCACCGCACAGCUGUCUCUGGAGACAGGAGCACAAAGCUGCCUUCUGCCCAGGGCACUGCUUCCUUGGCAAGUGACCAGCAGCUGGGACCGCACGUGCCAAAGGCAGCAGCUGCCAUGUUUGACAAACUGGAACGGAGCUAUGUCCAAAUUAAAUCCCCCCAACCAGCCUCUGCCAUACUCCCUUUGGGGACAGGGGUGGUCGGUCGUUACGCUUGCAAAAUUCCAACAGCACCUAGAGUCCCAGGAAAUGGGGCUGCUGGCCAAUAGAGGUGGGACCCAGGGUGACAGGCCACAUGCUCCUUAGAGAGCCAACAGUGUUUCCUGAAUUCCAUGGGAGUUUGCCGAGGGGACAUGGAAGCUAGGAUUCCGGAACACCCGCUGGGAGCCUAGUCCUGGGCUAGGGGCUGCAUUUAUCAUUUCAUCCUCACAACUACUGUUGCAGUUUCGCCUAACAGAGAAGGAGACAAAACUAACCCGGUGGCCACGUGGCCGAAGGCACAGAGCCGUUGAGUGGCAGCGUGGCAUUUGAAUUCAGGCCGGUGAUGCUGAAGUCCCCAGGUCUUUUUUUUUUUGAUGCCCACAACAAUGUAACUACUAAUAGCCUGUUAUUGAUGCAGGCCUUACCAAUAACAUAAAUAGUUGAUGAACACAUAUUUUGCAUAUGUGUUAUAUACUGUAUUCUUAUCAUAAACGAGCCAAAGAGAAGGAGAUGUUAUUAAGAAAACGGUAAGAAAGAGAAAAUAUAUUUAGCAUUCAUUUAGCAGAAGGGGAUCACCAUAAAGGUCUUCAUCCCUGUUAUCUUCACCUUGAAGAGGCUGAGAAGGAGGAGAAGGAGGGGGUGGUCUUGCUGUCUUAGGGAUGGUGGAGGUAGAAGAGGCAAAGAAGGUGGAAGGGAAGGCAGCCACGCUCGGUGUAAGCUUUAUUGGAAAAAAUCUGCAUUUAUGUGGACUCUCACCAGGCAAACCCGUAUGGUGCUCGAGGGCCAACUGUAUUUCCACUACCGUCAUCCGCCUUGCCCAGGGUGACCUGAUUCACUGACGGGAGGGUUUGCCUUCCCAUGCGCAUCAGUUCAGCCUUCCCCUGAUGUCAUUCUUUUCCUAGUGGCUAACAGGCUGGAUGUGCAGUUGGGGACAGUCAGUAUCUGGGGUCUGGUGAGGACCCUCUUCCUGGUUUGCAAAGCAGGAAGAUGCCAGGCAUCUCUUUCUGUCCUGCUCAGUCAAGUGUGAAUCACAAAGCCUGAGUUCAGAUCCUCGACCUUGGGCAGGUGAACUUCACUCUUAUGAGUCUCAAUUUCUGUACCCAC
rnacentral:lncRNA from 10 species